UUCCACAGGGGUCACCAGGGGUGUUAAAAUGCCAGUUCUCUUCUGGGGCAGGCGUGUUCCCUGGUGGGAGGACUGUACUCCAUUGGACGUCCCCACACUCAUGAGUAUGUGGGCAGCACAAAUUGAAGGUGGGGAGGAAGAAGAGGUAGGGUGAAAGAGCAGCUGAGAAGAAAUGAAGUGAACCAUGCUUCCUGCAGCUGAGAAGAAAUGAAGUGACCCGUGCUUCCUGCAGCUGAGAAGAAAUGAAGUGACCCGUGCUUCCUGCAGCUGAGGGCUUCAUCUGUACCAUCUGCUUUCUUGGUCCUCUGUCACCCACCCCAUCACUGAGUUCACUCUCUCUGCACAGUGCCCGUGGUUCCAGAUGUGGUCCCUCAGCUUCCUGCCCUGAGGCCAUGCCUUCAUCCCACCAUCAGGGACUCUAACCCUCAGACUGCAAUGUGACCAGCUGCUUUGUGCUUCUGCAGCCCUGGUGGUCCUUGCCCUCAAAACACAGCCCAAAGCCACCUUCCUUCCUUAACUUGCUUCUGUGAGUUUUUUUUUUUUUUUUUUUUUUUUUUUUUUGGUCCCAACUUGAAGGGUAACUGGUAUAGCUACCAUAGCAUGCUGCUUUAUCACAAGCCCAACACAUCAUGUGAUCAGUUAUAAUGACCUGGACCAUCCCAAUGCCUGAGCCAACAUGAACCUUUCUCUUUAUAAAAAUGCUUAUUAUGGCAAUGGAAAGCCGAGCAACCAAGCUUCAAGCAUUCAGGAGCAACAUUUCGAUUGACACGAAAUCUCACCAUCACUGUGUAAAAUCAUCCAAUUAGAUGU